rnacentral:lncRNA from 1 species
GCAUGUGGCUAUUUACCCCAGGGUUAGACUUUUCUUCUGAAAAAUUGCUUGGGAUCGACUACCGACUCAGACACUUCUUAGAGACAGAGACAUGGAGCUUCCGAUUGCUUGUCUGAUCUACAGGCUAGAGGAUGAGUCAACGGAGCAUACCUUACUACGUUGCUCGAGGGUGUGUUUGAAUUGGGGUAUGGUUGAUGGCCAACCCUGGGGGACUGAUAGUUGCCCUUAGCUUUCAUCCUUCCUUGUUGUGGUCCACCAAAGUAUGAUCGAGGGCUUGUCCUAUGGGACUUGGAUGGCGUACAUCACCUAUUAGAUCUGAUUGUCCAGGAAUAGCCUAGUUUUUGAAGCUAAGAUUGUACCUGUGUAGUGGGUGUUGGAGUAAGCAUAUUGUUUAGCUGAGGAGUACUACUGUUUUGAUGCUAUUACCAUAUGCCUUGCCGCUUCGAGUUCCUAGGAUUUUCUUGCUGCAUCUGCAGUAACCCGAAAGAUUCUUUUGAUUUUUUCGAGAGCCUCAACCCUCAAGAUUUGUCAAGAUCAAUUUUGAUGGUA